rnacentral:rRNA from 1 species
UACAGAGGGGGCAAGCGUUGUUCGGAAUUACUGGGCGUAAAGGGCGCGUAGGCGGCCUGCUAAGUCAGACGUGAAAUCCCUCGGCUUAACCGGGGAACUGCGUCUGAUACUGGAUGGCUUGAGUUUGGGAGAGGGACGCGGAAUUCCAGGUGUAGCGGUGAAAUGCGUAGAUAUCUGGAGGAACACCGGUGGCGAAGGCGGCGUCCUGGACCAACACUGACACUGAUGAGCGAAAGCCAGGGGAGCAAACGGG